AUUGAACGCUGGCGGCAGGCCUAACACAUGCAAGUCGAGCGGGGUUUUCGGACCUAGCGGCGGACGGGUGAGUAAUGCGUAGGAAGCUACCCGAUAGAGGGGGAUACCAGUUGGAAACGACUGUUAAUACCGCAUAAUGUCUACGGACCAAAGUGUGGGACCUUCGGGCCACAUGCUAUCGGAUGCGCCUACGUGGGAUUAGCUAGUUGGUGAGGUAAUGGCUCACCAAGGCGACGAUCCCUAGCUGGUUUGAGGGGAUGAUCAGCCACACUGGAACUGAGACACGGUCCAGACUCCUACGGGUGGCAGCAGUGGGGAAUAUUGGACAAUGGGCGCAAGCCUGAUCCAGCCAUGCCGCGUGUGUGAAGAAGGCCUUCGGGUUGUAAAGCACUUUCAGUAGGGAGGAAGCGUUGUGUGUUAAUAGUACACAGCGUUGACGUUACCUACAGAAGAAGCACCGGCUAACUCUGUGCCAGCCGCCGCGGUAACAC
rnacentral:rRNA from 1 species